rnacentral:rRNA from 1 species
GUCGAGAAUCUUUCACAAUGGGGGCAACCCUGAUGGAGCGACGCCGCGUGGAGGAUAAGGUCUUCGGAUUGUAAACUCCUGUCAUGCGUGAACAAGGUUGCUUGGUUAAUACCUGGGCAAAUUGAUGGUAACGCAAGAGGAAGAGACGGCUAACUCUGUGCCAGCAGCCGCGGUAAUACAGAGGUCUCAAGCGUUGUUCGGAAUCACUGGGCGUAAAGGGUGCGUAGGUGGCGUGGUAAGUCAGAUGUGAAAGCCCGGGGCUCAACCUCGGAACUGCAUCCGAUACUGCCAUGCUAGAGGAAUGGAGAGGUGACUAGAAUUCUCGGUGUAGCAGUGAAAUGCGUAGAUAUCGAGAGGAAUACCAAAGGCGUAGGCAGGUCACUGGACAGUUACUGACACUGAGGCACGAAGGCCAGGGGAGCGAACGGGAUUAGAAACCCCGGUAGUCC